rnacentral:rRNA from 2 species
UGACCUCAUCGGGGUAGGACAACCCGC